rnacentral:rRNA from 1 species
GCAGUCGAGCGGAACGAUGUAGCUUGCUACAGGCGUCGAGCGGCGGACGGGUGAGUAACGCGUAGGAACCUACCUAGUAGUUUGGGAUAGCCCAGAGAAAUUUGGAUUAAUACCGAAUACGCCCCACGGGGGAAAGCGGAGGAUCUUCGGACUUCGCGCUAUUAGAUGGGCCUGCGUAAGAUUAGCUUGUUGGUGAGGUAAUGGCUCACCAAGGCAACGAUCUUUAGCUGGUUUGAGAGGAUGAUCAGCCACACUGGGACUGAGACACGGCCCAGACUCCUACGGGAGGCAGCAGUGGGGAAUAUUGCACAAUGGGCGAAAGCCUGAUGCAGCCAUACCGCGUGUGUGAAGAAGGCUCUAGGGUUGUAAAGCACUUUCAGUAGGGAGGAAAGGUUGUAGAUUAAUACUCUGCAGCUGUGACGUUACCUACAGAAGAAGGACCGGCUAACUCCGUGCCAGCAGCCGCGGUAAUACGGAGGGUCCGAGCGUUAAUCGGAAUUACUGGGCGUAAAGCGUACGUAGGUGGUUUGUUAAGUUGGAUGUGAAAGCCCAGGGCUCAACCUUG